rnacentral:rRNA from 1 species
GCAUUAUACAGCGAAACUGCGAAUGGCUCAUUAUAUAAGUUAUCGUUUAUUUGAUAGUACCUUACUACUUGGAUAACCGUGGUAAUUCUAGAGCUAAUACAUGCUGAAAAUCCCGACUUCGGAAGGGAUGUAUUUAUUAGAUUAAAAACCAAUGCCCUCUGGGCUCCUUGGUGAUUCAUAAUAACUUUUCGAAUCGCACGGCCUUGCGCCGGCGAUGGUUCAUUCAAAUUUCUUCCCUAUCAACUUUCGAUGUUUGGGUAUUGGCCAAACAUGGUCGCAACGGGUAACGGAGGGUUAGGGCUCGACCCCGGAGAAGGAGCCUGAGAAACGGCUACUACAUCCAAGGAAGGCAGCAGGCGCGCAAAUUACCCAAUCCCGAUUCGGGGAGGUAGUGACAAUAAAUACUGAUACAGGGCUCUUUUGGGUCUUGUAAUUGGAAUGAGUACAAUUUAAAUCUCUUAACGAGGAACAAUUGGAGGGCAAGUCUGGUGCCAGCAGCCGCGGUAAUUCCAGCUCCAAUAGCGUAUAUUAAAGUUGUUGUGGUUAAAAAGCUCGUAGUUGAACCUUGGGCCUGGCUGGCCGGUCCGCCUCACCGCGUGUACUGGUCCGGCCGGGCCUUUCCCUCUGUGGAACCUCAUGCCCUUCACUGGGUGUGGCGGGGAAACAGGACUUUUACUUUGAAAAAAUUAGAGUGCUCCAGGCAGGCCUAUGCUCGAAUACAUUAGCAUGGAAUAAUAAAAUAGGACGUGUGGUUCUAUUUUGUUGGUUUCUAGGACCGCCGUAAUGAUUAAUAGGGACAGUCGGGGGCAUCAGUAUUCAAUUGUCAGAGGUGAAAUUCUUGGAUUUAUUGAAGACUAACUACUGCGAAAGCAUUUGCCAAGGAUGUUUUCAUUAAU